CUCUGUAUAAAAGUUUGUUGUUGUUGGAAAGCUUUGGAAAGGGAUGUUAAGCAUUGAAAUUUUUAAAAGUUGUUAUGAUGAUUUUUGUUUUCCAAAUAGUUUUUAAGAUGAAUCAUCAAUUUCAACUUACAAAUAAAAAUAAAAAUCACAAUUACAAUUACAAAAGAAACUUUUUUUCUACAGCCGCCGGAUAAAAUCGUCCUUCGUGGGUGAUGCUAGAUGAAGCAAUCGCAAUUUUCACACAAUUCCGAUAAGUUACGAUAAGCUUCGAAUAAUGGUAAGAUUCAGUUAACCAGCAAGAGCGGGUAGUCCGGGGAGCAGGAAGGAUCGGGAAGAUGAACUACCACCUUGAUGGAACGGAAUUCAAUUGAAAUAAAACGAAGGGAUAUGGCAAUAUAUUUGUUCUAAAAGAAGAAGAUUCCCAGAAUUUUAGAGGGCAGCCGGAGUUGUUUGAUAAAUUCUUCGCCCGUAAAUCGGAAGGAUCCAUCGUUUAGUGCUCGGGAUAUGUUGAGGGCUUCGCAGAAGAGAAAUUUCCCUUGGUUGGAGCUAGCCGAUGUUCACAAUGACACAACCGGGGGAUUACGAGCUACGAAUAUACUGUUUUAUAUGAACUGCCCCAAACCACCAGCUGCUUUCUGGCUCUACUGCAUCCGCCCAAAGAACCUGGGCAAGCUCCGGAGGCCAAGUUACAAAAGAUACGUUUUCAUGACGUUAAGGAUGCAACGAAAAGCAGCCGUUAAAGUACAUUAUAGCGUGGGUGGAAAUCUCGGGCAAAAGGAACACAGAACUGAAAGCAGGACCAAUGACUGGAUGACGAGAUAGUUAUAAUUUUGUUGUUUCCAAAGAGCAGCCAAAAUUUUACAAUAAUCAUCUCUCCUCCAGCGAGAAUACAAAACUAACAAAUAAUGGACGAUGGUAACGAGCUCGCUAAGCACCAUUCAGCACCUGAUGUAUACCAAUUUUGAAUUGAAGAUGCAGCUCAA